UGAAAUCCCCGGGCUCAACCUGGGAACUGCAUUCGAAACUGGCAGGCUUGAGUCUUGUAGAGGGGGGUAGAAUUCCAGGUGUAGCGGUGAAAUGCGUAGAGAUCUGGAGGAAUACCGGUGGCGAAGGCGGCCCCCUGGACAAAGACUGACGCUCAGGUGCGAAAGCGUGGGGAGCAAACAGGAUUAGAUACCCUGGUAGUCCACGCCGUAAACGAUGUCUACUUGGAGGUUGUGCCCUUGAGGCGUGGCUUCCGGAGCUAACGCGUUAAGUAGACCGCCUGGGGAGUACGGCCGCAAGGUUAAAACUCAAAUGAAUUGACGGGGGCCCGCACAAGCGGUGGAGCAUGUGGUUUAAUUCGAUGCAACGCGAAGAACC
rnacentral:rRNA from 1 species